UCCCUUCACUAAUACUCACUACUUGAGAAGAGGCUGAUUUCUGGAGCUUUCCCACUCUGGUCAAAACUGAAACUAAACUCUAAACAAAGGAAACUUCCCUCCAUCCUUUUGAACCAUCUUAUCCCCCCAUUGGUUCCUCUGGUCAGGUAUCAGCUAGGCUAGGUGAACUUCUUAACCCUUUACAGGUAAAAGAGGCAUUAACCCUUAACUAUCUGUUUAUGACAUAGGCACAUCCCUUAAUGCACUAGUGAAAGGCACUCAGAUACCCUGGUGAUAAGAACAAUAUAAGGAAUAAAAUGGAAUGGACCAGACGACAAGUCCAUUCAGUACCUGUCUCCAACAGGGGGCUUCAGAGGAAGGUGUAAGAACCCCACAGUGGGAAGAUGAGGAUAAUUCACCUCCCAUUAACUAUUAGAGAUCAGGAUGAGAUUUAGAGAUUGACAUGAGUCCUGAAGCAUGAGGGCUCCAAUGCAUGUUAUUACAAUUCUGGAUAUUCUUGUUAUUCAUAUAAAUAUCCAAUCACUUUCUUGAUUUUAUGUUCUUGGCCUCAACAACUUCCGGUGGCAAUGAGUUCCACAGUCUACCAAUGCACUUUGUGAAAAAUAUUUUCUGUUAUCAGUUCUGAAUUUGUCGCUUGUUAAUUUAAUUGAAGGUCUCCUUGUGUUAUAAGAUGGGGAGAAUAGAAGCACCUGAUCUACCUUCUCUAGACCACUAAUUGUUGUAUAUACUUUUAUCUAGUUUGCUUCUCUCUGCAUCACUUCUUGAGCAUAAUGGAGAAAAUGUUUCCAAACAAACAUCAAAAAAUCAAAUGGAUUUGGGUUAACUGCUAGAUAAAGGAGUCUCUAUGGAGUUGUCUCCUCACAUGGACUACACUAACUGAACCACUAACAAUAACUUUUUCCCUCUUAGGUAUUGUUGUUGGACAAAUGACCACUGCCCAGGUCUCUACGGGAUCACCACUGGUAUCUGCUGAUGUUUCGUCAGCUGCUCCAAAUGCAACCACUGUCGGGGUCUCUACGGUAUCAACUACAGCUGUGACAGUAACAGCUGAAGUGCUGUCAACCACUACAAACCCCACGGUGCCAUCUGCCACAACAGUAUCUGCUGAGGUUUCAUCCACCACCCGAACUGCAAGGGUGUCCACUAUUCCAAAUAGUACCACUGUUCAGGUUUCUCCAGGACCAACAUCAGCUGUGACAGAGUUGGCUGGGGUAACAUCAGCUACCCCCCGUGGCACAGUACCUACCAGCAUGCUAUCUACUGCUCCAAACGUGACAGCAUCUGCUGGGGUUCCAUCAGCUACUCCAUUUGUAAGCACCAUGGAGUCCACAAACUGCAGUGCAGUGAACACAACAGCGUGUACAGCUUGUUCACCAGGAACGUUUCCCAGCAAUGAGACAUUGGGUUGUUUCUGCUGCUCAGAGGGCUCCUGCGCAGAACCUAUUGAUUGCAUCUCCUGUCCAGUGGGUCACUAUCAGCCUCUAGCUGGACAACUGUCCUGUCUGCUUUGCCCACAAGGAUAUUACACUAAUACUACCAACUGCAGCAAGUGUACAAUUUGCCCCACUGGAGAAGAGGCCCUUACAGAAGCAUCUGAAGAAUGUGCACCUUGUCUGCCAGGUACAUAUAAAGGCCCCAGCGACAGCAAAUGUGAGAUCUGCAAUAUAGGAGAAUACCAAGUACAAAGGGGCAAGGAGAGCUGUGACAAAUGCCCAGAAAAUUAUUACUGUCCUGUAAGUCUCUCUAAGCUGCAGCAGUGGUAUGUCUUACUAAAUGUAGCUGAUCUAUUACAAGCUGAAUACAUUUUAAUUAACACCAUCUUUAUUCAGUUCACUUCCUUUGUAGGGUUCUUUUAG
ensembl:lncRNA